rnacentral:ncRNA from 1 species
UGAUAGAGGCGCGGUUGACAUCAGUAGCUCCAAACCGGCGGCGGGCAACGCCGGGGCGAAAGGGGAGACCGCCGAAGAGUAUCGGCUUUCCCGGGCCGGUAUAUCUGGGCCGACGGAGAACAUCCGCCGGACUGUCGCGAAAGCGGAGCGCUGUCA